ensembl:lincRNA
CUCUGGAGUGUAUCGCUUAGGGAACCGUGCUCAGGCGACGCUGCAGGUGUUGUCGCACACACGGCACGUCCAGAAUCGCGCGUGGGGCGCCCAGCAUGCUGGUGGGCUCAGCGGGACCCCCACCCGCCUCUGGAGUCUGCCCCACCGGCCUGGAAGGAGCCGCAGAGGCCCGGGGAGGCCCAGCUUGCAGGCCGCCCCCCAUUUCCUAAAAUGUUGGAGUUUGGUUUUUUUCUCAGUUCAGCUUUCCUUUUCUGGAGUGGCGUCUCAGCAGAUUCGGUUCUACCAUCUGGUAACACUGAGAACCCCAGGGAGAGAGGGCCCCUCUGGGGAGCGGUGCCUCGGGCAGCCUGGCCCUGUACACCCCUCAGGCCUUGAGCCAGGAGCACCCCAGCUGGCACCCGGAACCACUGCCUCUGCGGCCCAGCACCCACACCCUUGGACCACUUGCACCCCCAGCAGCUUUGAAGAGAGCACACCUGCGCCCGCUGAGCUGCACUCCGUGGUAACAAUCAGGAGAGAGCAGUUCUAGGAUGUCUGCCUCUGCCAGGUAGAGACCCCCACGCGCCCCUUUUUCAGGUGGUGAAGCUGAGGCUGGGGCAGAAAGGCCACCCGUGGAUGUCAGGCAAUAAGCAGUAAAUGACACAGGCCAGAUGGGGUGGGAAAGGGGACGCUGUGUUUGUGUGGGGGCUCCGGGUCUCCCCCUUCUGAUCGUCCAGCUCUUCCCUCCUAAGGACUUGGUGAAGUCCUUGAGACCCUUGCAUAGCUAUUCCCCCUGCCCAAACCAGCAAUCUCCUCUCUUCAGGUUCACACUCAACGUCACCUCCCUAGACAGUCCCUCACUGGCUGGGCAUGGUGACACACACCUGUAACUCCAGCACUCGGGAGGCCUAGGCUAGAGGAUCCCAUGAAUUCCAGGCCAGCCUGAACCACAUAGUAAGACCCUGUCUCAACAAGAGAAAAAAAAAGAAAAUCCCUCGCUGACCCCAGGGUGCUCACUAAUCCAACACCUGAUUCCUUUCCUUCACUGUUUCUCCCAUCUGUAAUUAUCGCGGCCGUUUAUUUGUCACCUGGAUACUGUCUUCUGUCUCUAGAAUGUCAGCCCCAGCUUACUGCUGUAUCCCCGCCCUCCCCCCUGCACCUGGUAGGAACUCAGUUCAUUAAAAUGUGUGAGUUUGAGCAAACAAAUAGACCUGCAUGCAGCAGAGGGCAGGGAGGCCUCUGGCAGUCCGUAGUGGCCCCCCGAGACCCAGAAGCAAAGGGGACUGAGCCUGUAUCCUGCUUUCUCACACUUCUGCCUUGGGCAAGUUAGGCUGCAGUCUGCCUGCCUGAUGUCCUCAUUUCCGGCAAUGUGAAGGCUCCCAGGCACGGGCCUCGGCUCACACCUCCAGCCCAGACAAAAAGCCUGCCAGGCAGCAUAGAGCAGGGGGACUCACGCCAGGGCAGGUUUCCCAGCAGCCCCCGGGGGGUGGGCUGGGCCUCGGAGCACAUGCAAAGGGCCUGUGUCCACCAUCAAGGACAGCCAACCAGAUCCAGGACCCUGGGGCCAGGCCCUCAUACACCCUGGACUAUGUGCCAGAAAAUCACAGAUCCUCCACCCUGGGACCUGCCUCCAACUGAGCUGCCAACCAGAAGCCUCUAGGCUUGGCCCAGAAAGGCAGCUGUCACUAGAGAAGGGGUGAGUGACAGAGACAGGUGGUGCUCACAGCACAUCCUGCUCCGUCCCAAGGCGGUCUGUCACCCUGCUUAAAAAGGCAAGAUUCAGCCAGGCAGAGUGGCACGCCUGGAAUCCCAGCACUUGAGAGGUUGAGGCAGGAGGAUCGCUGCAAGUUCCUGGCCAGCCUGGGCUACACAGUGAGUUCCAGGCCAGCCUGAACUGGGCAGCGAGACCCUGUCUCAAAACAACAACAACAAAAAGCCAAGUUUAGUGGCACAUGCCCGAAAUCUGCCAGCACUUGGGCAGCUGAGGCAGGAGAAUCACAAGUUUGAGGCCAGCCUGGACGACUAGCAAGAAUUUGUCUCAAAACAAACGAACAAAGUGAAAUUAUAAAAACUGGGGAGGGAGGUAGCUUAGUAAAGGGCAACUGGGUUUGAUCUCCAGUGGGGGCCCAGGUAGAGCAAGUCACGCAAACAGAAUACCACUGUUUGGAGACAUGGGAAAUCGUUGGGGUGGGCCCAGCACCCCCCACCCCGGUCAGGACCUCCCCAGUGGAGAGCAGACCUUCUUCCUGAAAAGCCUGUUUCCAUGACUGCAGCACCACUUUGUCCUUCUGCCCAUAGUGGCCACUGAUUAUGUGCAUUGCACUGUGGCUAGACCAGGGAGGGCUGCAAGGGGCCAGUCCCCUGGGGCAAGGGGAGCAUGCAGAGAGACAGCUGUGCAAAGGCCCUGGGGCCAGAACAAAGAGCAGAUGGAGGGGCCGGAGCUAAGUGGGGGAGCAGGUUGAGAAACUGAUCCCAGGAUCUGCGUCUGGGCGAAAGGGGCAGCAGGGUGCAGAGGCACCUGGACCCACUGGCGGGCAAGUGCUCACCCUGCUGCUGUUCAGAGAGAUGUGCAUGAGAAUCCCUCCUCUCCCAGCGUAGAUAUCUGCUCUGCAGCCCAAGUGCGCCAGGGUCUGGGGAACCCAGAGGCUCCUUUCCCGCAUCUGUGCCACAUCGCUGCCUCCCA